UAAUUUACCUGUAGAAUAAUAAGACUUUUCCUUUUUUUUAUGCCCCCCUUCGAAGAAGGGAGGGCAUAUUGCUUUGCUGCUGUCUGUCCGUCUGUCGGUCCGUCGGUCUGUCGGUCUGUCGGUCCAUUCAGUUUCCGUUCAUUUUCUUCAUAACCGUUGCCCAUACUGAAAUGAAAUUUGGUAUACAGAUAUAUCACAUGAAUAUCUAGGCCAAGUUCUGUUUUGGGUACGAUCGCACCAUUUUUGACAGAGUUAUGCCCCUUGGACUUGGAAAAAUUUCAAUUAUUUGCAGUUUCCGCUCAUUUUCUUUGCAACCGUUGCACAUACUGAAUUCAAAUUUGGUAUACAGAUAUAUCACAUGAAUAUCUAGGCCAAGUUCUGUUUUGGGUACGAUUGCACCAUUUUUGACAGAGUUAUGCCCCUUGGACUUGGAAAAAUUUCAAUUAUUUGCAGUUUCCGCUCAUUUUCUUUGCAACUGUUGCACAUACUGAAAUCAAAUUUGGUAUACAGAUAUAUCACAUAUAUAUCUAGGCCAAGUUCUGUUUUGGGUACGAUUGCACCAUUUUUGACAGAGUUAUGCCCCUUGCAGUUUGAAAAAAAUUCAAUUAUUUUCAGUUUCCACUCAUUUUCUUUGCAACCGUUGCACAUACUGAAAUCAAAUUUGGUAUACAGAUAUAUCACAUAUAUAUCUAGGCCAAGUUCUGUUUUGGGUACGAUUGCACCAUUUUUAACAGAGUUAUGCCCCUUUGCAGUUUGAAAAAAUUUCAAUUAUUUGCAGUUUCCGCUCAUUUUCUUUGCAACCGUUGCACAUACUGAAAUCAAAUUUGGUAUACAGAUAUAUCACAUGAAUAUCUAAGUCAAGUUCUGUUUUGGGUAAGAUCGCACCAUUUUUGACAGAGUUAUGCCCCUUGGAUUUGAAAAAAUUUCAAUUAUUUGCAGUUUCCGCUCAUUUUCUUUGCAACCGUUGCACAUACUGAAAUCAAAUUUGGUAUACAGAUAUAUCACAUGAAUAUCUAAGUCAAGUUCUGUUUUGGGUAAGAUCGCA